rnacentral:rRNA from 1 species
GACGAACGCUGGCGGCGUGCUUAACACAUGCAAGUCGAACGGUAAGGCCCUUCGGGGUACACGAGUGGCGAACGGGUGAGUAACACGUGGGUGAUCUGCCCUGCACUUCGGGAUAAGCCUGGGAAACUGGGUCUAAUACCGGAUAGGACUCCUGGCUUCAUGGUUGGGGGUGGAAAGCUUUUGCGGUGUGGGAUGGGCCCGCGGCCUAUCAGCUUGUUGGUGGGGUAAUGGCCUACCAAGGCGACGACGGGUAGCCGGGCUGAGAGGGUGACCGGUCACACUGGGGCUGAGAUACGGCCCAGACUGCUACGGGAGGCAGCAGUGGGGAAUAUUGCACAAUGGGCGCAAGCCUGAUGCAGCGACGCCGCGUGAGGGAUGACGGCCUUCGGGUUGUAAACCUCUUUCAGCUAUGACGAAGCGCAAGUGACGGUAGUAGCAGAAGAAGGACCGGCCAACUACGUGCCAGCCGCCGCCGUAA